rnacentral:rRNA from 1 species
CCUACGGGGGGCUGCAGUGGGGAAUAUUGGACAAUGGGGGGAACCCUGAUCCAGCGACGCCGCGUGAGUGAAGAAGUAUUUCGGUACGUAACGCUCUAUCAGCAGGGAAGAAAAUGACGGUACCUGACUAAGAAGCCCCGGCUAACUACGUGCCAGCAGCCGCGGUAAUACGUAGGGGGCAAGCGUUAUCCGGAUUUACUGGGUGUAAAGGGAGCGUAGACGGCAGCUGAAGUCUGAAGUGAAAUACCAUGGCUUAACCAUGGAACUGCUUUGGAAACUGGGCGGCUGGAGUGCAGGAGAGGUAAGCGGAAUUCCUAGUGUAGCGGUGAAAUGCGUAGAUAUUAGGAGGAACACCAGUGGCGAAGGCGGCUUACUGGACUGUAACUGACGUUGAGGCUCGAAAGCAUGGGGAGCAAACAGGAUUAGAUACCCUGGUAGUC